ACGGGAGGCAGCAGUAGGGAGUUUUCGGCAAUGGGGGCAACCCUGACGGAGCGACGCCGCGUGGAUGAUGAAGGUCGGAAGAUUGUAAAAUCCUUUUAUAACUGAGGAAUAAGCGUUAUCAGAGAAAGGUAAUGUGGUGACUGUAGGUUAUGAAUAAGCAACGGCUAAUUACGUGCCAGCAGCCGCGGUAACACGUAAGUUGCGAGCGUUGUUCGGAAUUAUUGGGCGUAAAGGGCAUGUAGGCGGUUUUGCAAGCUUGAUGUGAAAGGCAGGAGCUUAACUCCUGGACUGCGUUGAGAACUGCAUGACUAGAGUCACUGAGGGGCAAUCAGAAUUCCAGGUGUAGGGGUGAAAUCUGUAGAUAUCUGGAAGAAUACCAAUGGCGAAGGCAGGUUACCAGCAGAUGACUGACGCUGAGGUGCGAAGGUGCGGGGAGCAAACAGGAUUAGAUACCCUGGUA
rnacentral:rRNA from 1 species